CAUGGGGGAAAUUGAAAAGAAAAUGAAAAGCAUUGAGCUCAAAUGUUGUGAAAAGAAAAAUUCAUGAGAAAAAGAAAAGAAAAGAAGAAAAGCAUGAAGAUGAGCUCAAUGAAAAAGAAAAGGGGAAAAAAGUUGGGAAUGAGUGAGAUUGGUGAGGAAGAGAGUUGUGCUUAAAGGAUGAAUAUUAUUAUAGCUCUCUUGAUUCAAGGACUUUGCAUUCCAGAAAAACCAAGUCUUCUUGUUAGCCCAACAUCAUUACAAGCCUUAGAAAAGUCCUUUUGAUGGCAUUUGCAUGUAAAGAUGUUGAUUGUUUGAGAUGAAUGGCAAUUUUAUUUCUUGUGACUUGUCGAUGAUAGAGAGUUGGAGUGUCACCCUAAACACUUGGCGCCGGGCGGAUUUGCGAUUUGAGGGAAACCGCCGGGCGCCACACUUGUUCCGCCGGGCGGUUGUCUGCUGGGCUUGGACCUAUUUUCUGUGUUUUUUUUAUGGUCUGUUUGGGCUUGGGCUUGUUUUAUGUUAUUUUUAUGCCCUAUUUAAAGGCCAGAACGUCUUAGGGUUUGUAUCUUUUGAUGGCUUAAGCACAUAAACACACUUUUCACCCCUUUGGGGUAGAUUUGGAGAUGGUGACAGCUCUCCUUUCCUCCUUUUUAGGGUUUGUAUCUCUUUCAUUCCAUUCUUCACCUAGUUUCUCCAUGACGACGGGGAACUAAUCUUAUUUGUUGGGAGAAACAAUGUAAUCUUUUGAUACUCUCUUCUAUUUAAACUCUUGUUUAUUUAUAUGGUUUCCAUAUGCUUUGAUU
rnacentral:lncRNA from 1 species